GGAGCCCCCACGCAGCAGCGGUUCCAUUUUGCCGCUGCGUGAUUUACCUCAUCGCCAGAAAACUUGACACCAUGCCAUGCUCUUGAACGCUACAUGGAAGAAACUCCGGUGUGCUCGAACCUAUAUCAACACCCCACUGAUUGUUGUCGUCUUCGCUGCUGUACAGUGAGUGUGGAAUUGGCGCUGCUCCGAUGAUCGCAGACCCUGUCAUCACCCAUAGUCGAUGUCGGCCACCGUCAACUUCGUCUCCUGCUACAACUAACCCUGAUCAAUGCUGCUGCCGGUUACCGUUCACAUUCCCAGUGAUCCAGGCCUCCAGUCAUCAAACCCUUUGAUCAUGAUAUAGCCCUUGAUGUUGUACACACCUCUGUAAAUCAGUUUGGUCAUAGGACCAGCGAUACCGGAGUUAUUGAUAUCAUCAAGCUUGCUGCUCCUGCAUCCUUGCAGCAGCAUUGUUUCCGAUUGGCAUGCAUGUUCCAUAAGAUCCUUUCCUCCAAUCAUCAAAUCCUUUGAAAAUGAUAUUCGUCAUGAAGUUGAACAUGUCCUUGCCAAAUUUCAUCA